rnacentral:rRNA from 1 species
GUGAGGAAUUUUCCGCAAUGGGCGAAAGCCUGACGGAGCAAUGCCGCGUGAAGGAUGAAGGCCUAUGGGUUGUAAACUUCUUUUCUCAGAAAAGAAUUAUGACGGUAUCUGAGGAAUAAGCAUCGGCUAACUCUGUGCCAGCAGCCGCGGUAAGACAGAGGAUGCAAGCGUUAUCCGGAAUGAUUGGGCGUAAAGCGUCUGUAGGUUGUUUAAAAAGUAUUCUGUCAAAGAUUAGGGCUUAACCCUAGAUAGGCAGAAUAAACUUUUAAGCUAGAGGUUGGUAGAGGCAGAGGGAAUUCCCGGUGGAGCGGGAAAAUGCGUAGAUAUCGGGAGGAACACCAAAGGCGAAGGCACUCUGCUGGGCCAAUACUAACACUGAGAGACGAAAGCGAGGGGAGCAAAUGGGAUUAGAAACCCCGGUAGUCC